UUAUUUUAUUAGUCACUCCUAUUUCUACCGAGAUUAUUCGUAUUAGACAAGCUCUAUAUAUAAUAUUAUUUAGAGACCUUUAGUUAAAACUCUCACUUCGUUUCUGAUUUUUGGAGUGGUUAGAAGCCAAAUCUUUCAUAAAAUGUUUAAAUACAUUUUCUUCGCAAUAACUUGCCUCAUAUUUGCUUCUGCUUCCGCAUAUUUUUGUUCUAAUAAUGGAAAAUGCGAAUAUCCUCCUAGUGAGACGGGCAUUUGCAAAGGAGCAUUACCAAGAUACACUUACAAGUCGCGAUCGAAGACAUGCGAAUAUUUUGUAUACGGUGGUUGCGGGGCCACGUCGAAUAUUUUCGAAACCUUAGAGGACUGCAAAAAAAUGUGUAUAAGGAAAUGAAUCGUAGGAAAUGAAUCGUAAAAAAUAAAAUCCACUUAUAUUAUGAAA